rnacentral:rRNA from 1 species
GUGGGGAAUUGUUCGCAAUGGGCGCAAGCCUGACGACGCAACGCCGCGUGGAGGAUGAAGACCUUCGGGUCGUAAACUCCUUUCGAUCGAGACGAAUGGCUUCCGGGUGAACAGCCUGGGAGAGUGACGGUACCGAGAGAAGAAGCCCCGGCUAACUCCGUGCCAGCAGCCGCGGUAAUACGGGGGGGGCAAGCGUUGUUCGGAAUUACUGGGCGUAAAGGGCUCGUAGGUGGCCAACUAAGUCAGACGUGAAAUCCCUCGGCUUAACCGGGGAACUGCGUCUGAUACUGGAUGGCUUGAGUUCGGGAGAGGGAUGCGGAAUUCCAGGUGUAGCGGUGAAAUGCGUAGAUAUCUGGAGGAACACCGGUGGCGAAGGCGGCAUCCUGGACCGAGACUGACACUGAGGAGCGAAAGCCAGGGGAGCAAACGGGAUUAGAUACCCGAGUAGUCC